rnacentral:tRNA from 1 species
AAGGGAGACCUAAUUCGGGUAUAAGACGAAAAAAAAGUAGUCCCUACCAAGAAUCAAUCCCAAAAGGUCGGAACGAGGUAUGAGGCUUUCAAACUAGGUUCUGGGUUCAUGAAAGACCUGAAUCAGGAACAAGGGCUAUUAGCUCAGGUGGUUAGAGCGCACCCCUGAUAAGGGUGAGGUCCCUGGUUCGAGUCCAGGAUGGCCCACCUGCACAGGUGGCAAAAACAAGAGAAGCGAGGAAUCAGCACCUUAUCUUAUAUACAUAUAUAAGAGAGAAUGCUGGCUCUGAGUACAGAGUCCAGAGGAACCUUGAAAACUGCAUAGAGCUAGGUGAAAAAGCCAAAAAAGAAGACCGCAAGGUCAAGCUAAUAAGGGCUAACGGUGGAUACCUAGGCAC